UCGAACGAGAAAGCGGGGGCCACCUCGUGAGUAAAGUGGCGUACGGGUGAGUAACACGUGGAUUAUCUACCUUCUUGUGGGGGAUAACCCUGGGAAACCGGGGCUAAUACCGCAUAAGCUCGAGAGAGGAAAGCAGCAAUGCGCUGGAAGAGGAGUCCGCGGCCGAUUAGCUAGUUGGUAGGGUAAAAGCCUACCAAGGCUACGAUCGGUAGCCGGCCUGAGAGGGCACACGGCCACACUGGCACUGAAACACGGGCCAGACUCCUACGGGAGGCAGCAGUGGGGAAUCUUGCACAAUGGGGGCAACCCUGAUGCAGCGACGCCGCGUGAGCGAUGAAGCCCUUCGGGGUGUAAAGCUCUUUCGGCAGGGAAGAUGAUGACGGUACCUGCAGAAGCAGCUGCGGCUAACUACGUGCCAGCAGCCGCGGUAAUACGUAGGCAGCAACCGUUGUUCGGAGUUACUGGGCGUAAAGGGUGUGUAGGCGGUUCUCUAAGUCUGGUGUGAAAUCUCCCGGCUCAACUG
rnacentral:rRNA from 1 species